CCUACUUUGGGCUCCCUGAUGAACUGUGACCCGGGAGAUAUUGUGAUGCUUUCCUAUUCCUGGGACUAAGAGACCUCUCCGCUACAGUGCAGGGCCGCCUGUACCCAGAGUGAACUGAGAUGGUCAGCUAAAAUGAGGAAGAAACAUGAAUGGAGAUAUUUACUACAUCUGAGCUUUGUGUGUUGUAACUCCCACAGUGAUUCCUGUAGAUGGGUCUCAUGGAUGGCUGGCUUAUUGCAGAAGUUAUUUAUAAUUGCCGAGUGUGGUGGCACUUCUGUAGUCCCAGAUACUCAAGAGGCUGAGGCAGAAGGAUUGCUUAAGUCCAGGCAUUCUGGGCUGCAAUGUGCUAUGGAUCAAGUUUUCACACAAAGUUUGGCAUCAACACGGUGACCUUCCAGAUCAGAGGACCACCAGAUUGCCUAAGAAGGGCUGAACCCACCCAGGCUGGAAACAGAGCAGGUCAAAACUCUAGAGCUGAUGAGUACUGGGAUUCCGCUUGUGAAUAGUUGCAUUCCAACCUGUGCAAUAUAGUGAGACCCAUCUCUUUUCCAGAGAGCACACAAUCUGUUCAGCAGCCCAUGGAAGUUCUCUAAAAUUGAUCACAUACUGGGGCACAAAACAAACCUCAACAAAUUAAAAAAGAAAUGGCAAUAAUUCCAUGUACUCGAAUCACAAUGCAAAACCCCUUAAAACAGCAAAGGAGCUCUAACAAGUAUGCAAACUUAUGGAGAUUAAACAAUAUACCUGAAUGAUGAAUGGGUCAAAGAAGAAAUUAAGAAGGAAAUAAAAGUAUUCCUG